AGAGAGAGACAUGCGUGCAUAUCAAUAAGCGGAGGAAAAGAAACUAACAAGGAUUCCCCUAGUAACGGCGAGUGAAGCGGGAAGAGCUCAAAUUUGAAAUCUUAAAGGGUUCCCUUACGAAUUGUAGUUUAAAGAAGUGUUUUCUGUUGAGGUUUUGGUAAAAGUUCUUUGGAAUAGGACAUCAUAGAGGGUGAGAAUCCCGUAUUUGACCUUUACUUUCAACUUUGUGAUACACUUUCAAAGAGUCGGAUUGUUUGGGAAUGCAGUCCAAAAUGGGUGGUAAAUUUCAUCUAAAGCUAAAUAUUGGCGAGAGACCGAUAGCGAACAAGUACCGUGAGGGAAAGAUGAAAAGAACUUUGAAAAGAGAGUUAAACAGUACGUGAAAUUGUCAAAAGGGAAGCGUUUGACACCAGUGCUGUUUUUCUGAAAAUCAAUUAAAGAACUGUUUAUGCUAAGUUGUUUAGACUUUAUCAGCUAACUGUUUAGUUUUGAGCUUUUCUUUAAUGCACUUUUCAGUUAACAAGUCAACAUCAAUUUCUUUUGCUGUAAAAAAGCUUGAGGAAGGUGGCUUGAGAUUCGUCUUAAGUGUUUAUAGCCUCUUGCCUAUGCAGUCGGAGAGAUUGAGGUCUGCAGCGUAGAUCCUUCGGGGCUAAAUGCAUUUGUGCUAAGUUAUAGCAUUUUAUAGACAACUUGUUGACUAUGAUUUGUCUUGUAGCUUACUCGCUUAUGUUAUUUUACCUACGCUUAGGAUGUUGAGCGCAUGUCUCUCUCU
rnacentral:rRNA from 1 species